GAUCAUUACAAUUCAGUAGCUUGCUACUGUCGGGAGGUGCUGUAAGCCCGCAUAGUUUCAUUACUGAUGAGCGGCAGGCCCUCUGUCUGUACCCUUGUCUUUUGCGCACUCAUGUUUCCUCGGCGGGCUUGCCCGCCGAUUGGACAAAACUAUAACCUUUUUAAUUUUCAAUCAGCGUCUGAAAAAACUUAAUAAUUACAACUUUCAACAACGGAUCUCUUGGUUCUGGCAUCGAUGAAGAACGCAGCGAAAUGCGAUAAGUAGUGUGAAUUGCAGAAUUCAGUGAAUCAUCGAAUCUUUGAACGCACAUUGCGCCCCUUGGUAUUCCAUGGGGCAUGCCUGUUCGAGCGUCAUUUGUACCCUCAAGCUCUGCUUGGUGUUGGGUGUUUGUCCUCUCCUUUGCGUUUGGACUCGCCUUAAAGCAAUUGGCAGCCAGUGUUUUGGUAUUGAAGCGCAGCACAUUUUGCGAUUCUAGCCGAUAAUACUUGCGUCCAUAAGCCUUUUUUAACUUUUGACCUCGGAUCAGGUAGGGAUACCCGCUGAACUUAAGCAUAUCAAUAAGCGGAGGAAAAGAAACCAACAGGGAUUGCCCUAGUAACGGCGAGUGAAGCGGCAACAGCUCAAAUUUGAAAUCUGGCUCUUUUAGAGUCCGAGUUGUAAUUUGCAGAGGGCGCUUUGGCGUUGGCAGCGGUCCAAGUUCUUUGGAACAGGACGUCACAGAGGGUGAGAAUCCCGUACGUGGUCGCUAGCCUUCGCCGUGUAAAGCCCCUUCGA
rnacentral:rRNA from 1 species